GAUGAAGAACGUAGUAAAAUGCGAUAAGUAAUGUGAAUUGCAGAAUUCAGUGAAUCAUCGAAUCUUUGAACGCACAUUGCGCCCGCCAGUAUUCUGGCGGGCAUGCCUGUUCGAGCGUCAUUUCAACCCUCAAGCACAGCUUGGUGUUGGGACUCGCGUUAAUUCGCGUUCCCCAAAUUGAUUGGCGGUCACGUCGAGCUUCCAUAGCGUAGUAGUAAAACCCUCGUUACUGGUAAUCGUCGCGGCCACGCCGUUAAACCCCACCUUCUGAAUGUUGACCUCGGAUCAGGUAGGAAUACCCGCUGAACUUAAGCAUAUCAAUAAGCGGAGGA
rnacentral:misc_RNA from 1 species